UACGGAGGGGGCUAGCGUUGUUCGGAAUUACUGGGCGUAAAGCGCGCGUAGGCGGACCUGCAAGUCGGGGGGUGAAAGCCCGAGGCUCAACCUCGGAACUGCCUUCGAUACUGCGGGUCUCGAGUCCGGGAGAGGUGAGUGGAAUUCCUAGUGUAGAGGUGAAAUUCGUAGAUAUUAGGAAGAACACCAGUGGCGAAGGCGGCUCACUGGUCCGGUACUGACGCUGAGGCGCGAAAGCGUGGGGAGCAAACAGGG
rnacentral:rRNA from 1 species